UUUCUUAAUUUCAUAGCCGUAAGGCUAUUGGCUGGUGGUUAAUUAACCACCGGCCU
rfam:Vibrio sp. CECT 9027 strain CECT 9027T genome assembly, contig: 0014